UUGGAGGGCAAGUCUGGUGCCAGCAGCCGCGGUAAUUCCAGCUCCAAUAGCGUAUAUUAAAGUUGUUGCAGUUAAAAGGCUCGUAGUUGAAUUUCGGGGUUAGUAGGUUGGUCGUGCCUCAGGUAUGUACUGAUCUCACUGAUUCCUCCUUCCUGAUGAACCGUAAUGCCAUUAAUUUGGUGUUGCGGGGAAACUGGACUGUUACUUUGAAAAAUUAGAGUGUUUAAAGCAGGCUAACGCUUGAAUACAUUAGCAUGGAAUAAUGAAAUAGGACGAUCGAUCCUAUUUUGUUGGUUUCUAGGAUUGACGUAAUGAUUAAUAGGGAUAGUUGGGGGCAUUAGUAUUCAAUUGUCAGAGGUGAAAUUCUUGGAUUUAUUGAAGACUAACUACUGCGAAAGCAUUUGCCAAGGAUGUUUUCAUUAAUCAAGAACGAAAGUUAGGGGAUCGAAGACGAUCAGAUACCGUCGUAGUCUUAACCAUAAACUAUGCCGACUAGGGAUCGGAUGAUGUUAAUUUUUUAAUGACUCAUUCGGCGCCUUACGGGAAA
rnacentral:rRNA from 1 species